CAGCAGAGUUAGCCUGCUCUGCUCUUCAGGAACAGCCAGACUGGGACAUCAAGGUGUCCAUCAGGCCAAAAGCAUCGGAAGAUGGUGCUCCACCUGAAUCAUUAGCCUCAUCAGUUACACAGGAGUCCAUUGAGUCCUCAUUGCAGGGCCUGACUACAGAUCAGAGAAACAAUGCAGCAGAAGCUUCAGUUCAGACGGUUCCUAGCUCUGAGGACACCAGCUUUACAGAGACAGAUUUCAAAAGUCUUGUCAACCGCUAUUGUCAGAAAACCAAACGUUCCCAUUCAUAUGUUGAAGUGAAGAAAGAUGGCCCGUCUCACGUUCCUCAUUUUUUCUACAAAUUAAUAAUUGACGACAAGGAAUAUCCUGUGGGUGAUGGGAAUAGCAUCAAGGAAGCCCAACAGAAAGCAGCAGAGUUAGCCUGCUCUGCUCUUCAGGAACAGCCAGACUGGGACAUCAAGGUGUCCAUCAGGCCAACAGCAUCGGAAGAUGGUGCUCCACCUGAAUCCUUAGCCUCAUCAGUUACACAGAACAACAGUGAAUCAUCUUCACAAAACACCAGAUUUGGCCUGGCGUCAAAAGGCAGAGGUUCCUCGAAGAGUUUUCAGUGACUUUUACCAAAGAGAAGCAAAUUAUUAACUCAUUGCUGUCUGAGAAACCAGAAGACCGACCUGAUGCAAGUGCCGUAAAGGAAAAGCUUGAAGCGUGGACUCAGAUAUUCAGCACACAAAAAGCAUCUCGCCAGGAAAAUCAAACUGUCUGAUAGUCACAAGAGAAAAGUUUCAAAAGUCACAGGAGCCUUUACAAAUCUGUCUUGUUGCAUCUGCUUAAUGAAAUAAUUUGAUGUACUGUGUAAUAUUAUGUUGGGUAACUGUUAAUGUGCAAAGUUAAUAUAUGGAAGAGGUCACAUCAUGAAUCCCAGCUAUUUUGGGGAAGUUUGUAUUGGAUUUGGAAAUGAAAUGUGAAAUCAUGAUUUUAAAAUCUAACUAUUCAAAUCAGUUUCCCGGUGUAGGUCGUCACUUUGUAACUGUUGUUAAUCUGCUGCUGUCCUGAGGAGGAGGAACUGUGAUGCUACGUGUACUUCUGAUGGAUUCAUGUUGAAUGUCAGAGAUGAAAAAAGCACACUCCAUGUGGCUCAAUUUUAGAAACUUUCCUAAAUGUUUUCAAUCAUUUUUAACCCAUGAAAUACAGUUUAACAUAUUUUUCUUCCAUUUUUUAUUUUGUUUAUUUUAAUCUGAUUGAUUGCAAUAUCAGUCAGCUACGUGUGAUUUGGAACAGCAGGAGAAAGGUCAUUAAUACUGUACUAGAGGGAAUAAAAUAAU